rnacentral:rRNA from 1 species
AUUGAACGCUGGCGGCAUGCCUUACACAUGCAAGUCGAACGGCAGCAUGAUCUCGCUUGCUAGAUUGAUGGCGAGUGGCGAACGGGUGAGUAAUACAUCGGAACGUGCCCUGUAGUGGGGGAUAACUAGUCGAAAGAUUAGCUAAUACCGCAUACGACCUGAGGGUGAAAGUGGGGGACCGCAAGGCCUCAUGCUAUAGGAGCGGCCGAUGUCUGAUUAGCUAGUUGGUGAGGUAAAGGCUCACCAAGGCGACGAUCAGUAGCUGGUCUGAGAGGACGAUCAGCCACGCUGGGACUGAGACACGGCCCAGACUCCUACGGGAGGCAGCAGUGGGGAAUUUUGGACAAUGGGCGAAAGCCUGAUCCAGCAAUGCCGCGUGUGUGAAGAAGGCCUUCGGGUUGUAAAGCACUUUUGUCCGGAAAGAAAUGGCUCUGGUUAAUACCUGGGGUCGAUGACGGUACCGGAAGAAUAAGGACCGGCUAACUACGUG